CCCGAGUACCAGAAGAGGCCAAUGAGCAGGGCCCCCCCUCCUGAGGACCAUAAACAGUGACCCAGGCACAGAGGGAGUGUAGUGAAUUCCUGUACUUUAAUGUUGCCCUGGCAUCCGUUUUGAAUAUAAUCUGGACUUUCUUACAUUAGAAGCAGGGCUCAGUCAACCUUGACACUGUUUCCAGCUCCCUGCUUCCUCCCAGUUCCUCUAUGUGCUCAAUCCAGAUAUCUACCUUAGACAGUCAUCUCCCGGUGACUGCCUCCCUGUGGGACAGCUACAUACAGCCCACUUGACUGGUCCCGCUGACCCCACAGCCCGCAUGGACUGUUGCAGAUAGGCCAGUGACCCUCUCUCAGCCAUAGCGUGACCCUGCUUGCUCUAAACUCACCAAUUAUUUUAUUUUAUUUUAUUUUAUUUUAUUUUAUUUUAUUUAUUUAUUUUUGAGAUGGAGUCUCGCUCUGUCACCCAGGCUGGAGUGCAGUGGCGCAAUCCUGGCUCACUGCAAGCUCCGCCUCCCGGGUUCAAGCCAUUCUCCUGCCUCAGCCUCCUGAGUAGCUGGGACUACAGGUGCGCACCACCACGCCCAGCUAAUUUUUGUAUUUUUAGUAGAGACGGGGUUUCACAAUGUUUUCCAGGAUGGUCUCAAUCUCUUGACCUCGUGAUCCACCCGCCUCGGCCUCCCAAAGUACAGGCGUGAGCCACCGGCACCUGGCCUAAACCCAAUUAUUACUCCCCUCAGGAAACCUGCCUGGGUGACGCCCUGGACCCCAUAAAGGCCUUGGUCCCACAGGUCCCCUCUCUCUCUCACUCUCUACCUGCUACUUGAACACCCUGCUGUCUCCGGGAUUCCUGUUGGCCCUCAUCGGCGCUGGCUUCUCUCAUGGAUCUAGAGCGGCUAUCUCGGCUUAUGGUACCUCUCCAAGGGACACCCCAAGACCCAAUUAGACAAAGAUCUCAACAGGGAGGCUCCUGGCUCAAGUAGAGACGGGGUUUCACCAUGUUCGCCAGGAUGGACUCGAUUUCCUGACCUCGUGAUCCACCCACCUCGGCCUCCCAAAGUGAUGGGAUUGCAGGCGUGAGCCACCGUGCCCAGCCAAGGUAAGAUUCUUAUAAACCUUUUAUAACCCUUUACAAUUUUUUUUAGAACAGAACAAUGUUCUUAAAAAAUUCUGCUGUGCUUUUUUUUUUUUUUUUUUUUUUGAGAUGGAGUCUGGCUCUGUUGCCUGGCCUGGAGUGUAGUGGCACGAUCUCAGCUCACUGCAACCUCCGCCUCCAGGGUUCAAGCGAUUCUCCUGCCUCAGCCUCCCGAAUAGCUGGAAUUACAGGCUCCUGCCACUACACCCAGCUAAUUUUUUGUAUUUUUAGUAGAGAUGGGGUUUCACCAUGUUGGCCAUGCUGGUCUUGAACUGCUGACCUCAUGAUUUGCCUGCCUCAGCCUCCCAAAGUGCUGGGAUUACAGGCAUGAGCCACGGUGCCUGGCCUCUGCUUUUGAUGGCAGCAGGGGGCCGUCUAAAGUGGCUGCUGCCAUCACACUGGCUGCAGUAGGGAGGCAUGGGCGGUGGUGGCAGGAGCAGCUGUGGGAGCAGCAGUGGCAGUAGUGGGACUCCUGUGCCCCAUGUCCCCUGUGCCCUGCAUCCCUGAGGCAGUCAGCUGCACCACCCCCAUCCUCUCAUGGCUGGGCAGAACCUGCUCCCAGACCCAGAGUCUCCACCGUGGUCACAAUCUUGCACGCCUGGCCAAGGGCACAGUUGGGGACUCUUGGGGCCAGCCCCAAGAGCAUUUGGUUUGUUUGUGUGGGGUUGACUGGGGCUACAGCACCACCUGCACCUUGCCCAUGACUGCUGCAGGGAAAAUGCAGACAGGAGGCAGGCAGGCACUCCCUGGAGCCUGUCCCUGGGAGCCCCCUAGAGUCCACUGCCCUGGGAGCCACUGUGAUGAGGCUGGGCUGAGUCACCCACUGACGGGGGAGCAGUGUAAUUGAGCAUGGAGGGGUGGGCAGAAAGGGGCCCUGAUAUGGAGCUGGGCCCAGGCCAGUGCCACACUCCAAGGAGCCAGUGAGAGCCAGGAGCAGACAGGGGCCUGGCAUUCCUGGGCGUGGCUGUGGCCACCCAAGUCACAGCUGUGGACCCAGGCCUCCCUGUGCUUUUGGGGGCUGGGAGCAGGUAGAAGCCCCACCCUCCCAAGGAGCAGCUGCAGCCACUCAGCUGCAGCUGUGGACCCAGGCCUCUCUGCACUUUUGGAGCCCUAGGAAGGCCACCCCCUUCCCCCUGCAGGCUCUGAGGUGUCUUAUCUCACUGCCUGAUCUCUGUCAACUCCUGGCAACUGCUCCGAUCUCAGAGCAAGGUUGGGGCCAAGCCUGGGCACUGUCGCAACCCAGCCAUGUGUGUGUACACUCAGGGCAGUGUUAACACGCCAGCCCCCUGCCACCUUAGCCCCCUCCUGACUUUGGGCACCAGCAAGCACCAGAGGGAGGCCAAGGGGGUGCUGAGGGCAGCUUGGCACUGGCCUCCAGGUGCCCUUUGGUAUGAACAGCCUGGACAUCAUGAACAGAGGCAGGAGACAGGCUCCUGGGCAGAAAGGAAAAGUUCCCCAGUGAAGCCUCACCUUGAAGCUGGCGAGGGCCUGUAGCUGGGGACUACACUGCUGGUCCCACAAACCAGAGUGGGAACUUGUGAUGCUUUUUCUGGGGCUGCACAUGGUUUCCCAUGGACCAACUGACAUGCGCUUCCUCCCCUCUGAGGCCCAUAAAAGCCCUGGACUCAGCCAGACUUGAGAAGAUGAUGGGACAACCAGCUGCAGAGAGGAGCUACCCUCUCUGCUGAGAGCUGAAGAGACAACAUGAUGACCAGCUGCAGAGAGGAGCUACCGUCUCUCCUGAGAGCUGAACACUCAUUGGGACACCCUGGCUACAGAAAGGAGCUACCUAUUUCAGGUCUCCUCUAAGCUGUUCUGUCACUCAAUAAAGCUUCUCUUCAUCUUGCUCACCCUUCGCUUGUCUGCAUACCUCAUUCUUCCUGGAUGCAGGACAAGAACUUGGGACCUGCCAAA
rnacentral:lncRNA from 10 species